UACGGAGGAUGCAAGCGUUAUCCGGAAUGAUUGGGCGUAAAGCGUCCGCAGGUGGCAAUGUAAGUCUGCUGUCAAAGCGUCUGGCUCAACCAGAUAAAGGCAGUGGAAACUACAUAGCUAGAGUAAGGUAGGGGUAGAGGGAAUUCCUGGUGUAGCGGUGAAAUGCGUAGAGAUCAGGAAGAACAUCGGUGGCGAAAGCGCUCUGCUGGACUGCAACUGACACUCAGGGACGAAAGCUAGGGGAGCAAACGGG
rnacentral:rRNA from 1 species